rnacentral:rRNA from 1 species
GACGAACGCUGGCGGCGUGCUUAACACAUGCAAGUCGAACGAAAAGAGGGAAAGAGCUUGCUCUUUCCGGAAUUGAGUGGCAAACGGGUGAGUAACACGUAAACAACCUGCCUUCAGGAUGGGGACAACAGACGGAAACGACUGCUAAUACCGAAUAAGUUCCAAGAGCCGCAUGGCCCAUGGAAGAAAAGGUGGCCUCUACCUGUAAGCUAUCGCCUGAAGAUGGGUUUGCGUCUGAUUAGCUGGUUGGAGGGGUAACGGCCCACCAAGGCGAAGAUCAGUAGGCGGACUGAGAGGAGGAACGGCCCCACUGGAACUGAGACACGGUCCAGACUCCUACGGGGAGCAGCAGUGGGGAAUCUUCCGGAAUGGGCGAAAGCCUGACGGAGCAACGCCGCGUGAGUGAUGACGGCCUUCGGGUUGUAAAACUCUGUGAUCCGGGACGAAAAGGCAGAGUGCGAAGAACAAACUGCAUUGACGGUACCGGAAAAGCAAGCCACGGCUAACUACGUG